rnacentral:lncRNA from 1 species
GCCACCUGGCCUGAGACUGGCCUGGCUUUGCCGUUUCCUUUGGCAGCUCCCAAGACCUGAGGGUAGGAGUCCUGGGCAGCUGGGACCUGCCAGGCCAUUCUGUAUCUCCCAUGGGGCUCACGACCCAGGGACCCCCGUUCCUAUCUGAGAGGACCACUUCUUCCUGAAGCUGGAACCCGAUACUUGUUGGUGCCAACAACUGAAACCAGAACGUCAACUGGAAAUGGCCCCGUGUUCAGCUACUUGGAGAUAAUCUACUUACAUUUCUCCAGCCCCCCCCCCCAUGUGGAGAUGCCCGCUGGCUGCAUUCCUCAAGGUACACCCCAAACCUUGAACAGGUCCAAAUGAAACAAAGAAGAGGCAACUAAUGGGAAUUUGGUAGUGUGCUGAAGAGGCCUUCGAGGAGAAAUUGUUGGGGAUGCGGACCGUGAGCUCAUCAGGUAAACGUGCUUGCCUCUCAGCCUGAUGACCCGGAUGCAAUCCCCAGGACCUACACGGUGGAAGGAGGAGAGGUGACCCCUGCCCUUUGACCUCCAUGUGAUCAUUGUGUAACACCCUUCCCCGACACAUGCAUACAUGAAGAGAACGUCAUUAAGUGUCUAGUAGAUAGUUGACAAUUAGUGAAAACAACUCUAUAUUACAAGAGAGGGUUUUUUGCAGAGUGAAGUAAACAGCCUGAGAAUCAUAAAGUAUUUAGUCGGGGCAUGGUGGCAAAUGCUUUAAAACGCCAGCCCUUAGAAAGUGGAGGCAGGAAGAUGAGGGAUUCAAGGCCAUCCUUGGCUACAUAGUGAGUUUACGUGUAGCUUUGCACUAAAUGAAACCAUGUCAACAAAGAAAAGAAGAAAAGGAAUUCAUCAAGGGACCAACAACGUGGAUCAGUGAAUAAAGAUGUUAGCCAGGGACUCAGCGGAAAGACAGAGCUGGCUUUCACUAGUUAUCUGUGCUCCACACUGCCAUGCUUGCCCACAUAUAUGCAUAUGCACAUGCCAAUAAUACACACAAUGAGCAGGUGAGGUACAGGGCUGGAGAGAUGGCUCAGCGGUUAAGAGCACCAUCUGUUCUUCCAGAGAUCCUGAAUUCAAUUCCCGGUAACCACAUGGUGGCUCACAGCCAUCUGUAAUGAGAUCUGAUGCCCUCUUCUGGUGUGUCUGAAGUCAGUUACAGUGUCCUCAUAUAGGUAAAAUAAAUAAAUCUUUUAAAAAGAAAAAUAAAAGGUGAAGUACAGCAGACGCUCAGCAGGGUGAGGCGUUGGUGACCUCAGCUCCAUCCCUGGUACCCACACUGUAGAAGGAACAAAAUAGUUUCGGGGUCCGCAAGGUUCUCAGCCGUGGCUCCUCCCCUUCUCUUCCUCCCCUUUCCAGAUACCUACCCUGCCCCGUGCUCCCCAUGUCCUUUCAAAACAAACCCUAGCCCCAGUUCAACUCCCUUCAGAUCCUAGAUUAAGUCUGGCCAGUCAAUGAAGAAACAGCACGCUUACAACAGUCACGAGGUACCCGUUCAGAGAGAGACUGCCAGGCUCAUCUUCCUUCCCUAGGAACAGGGGCUUGAAGACCACGAGCAGCCUGUUGGUGGGUAAGGACGGGCAAAACUAAGGGCCCUGGCCCAACCUACCUCUCUGGAUCAGUUUGCUCCUAGUCUAUCCGGGGCUAUUCACAUUGGUCUACUUUGCUUUUAGGCAGGGGGAUAGCUUCAUAGUUGCUCUGUUCUCUGGAUGUGACUGUGACACUUGUCUCGGCCAGUGACAUGAGAGGAAAAACAAGCGGUGCCAGCCCCAGUCCGAAGCCUUGAGGCUAGGUGCUACUUUACAGAAAGAGGCACCACGGUGAAGAGAGCCCUCUGCUGGCCAAGGCGGGACAUGCACUAUAAGGGACUUAGACCCCGCUAAUGGAACCAAUCUUGGAGUUGUUUUGUCACAGAACGGCAUACCUAAUUAGAUGGGAUAGACUUCCCAAUGCAUCUCGGGUUUUCCCAAGAACUUUUAUCAUAUCUGAAAACCACCUCUAAUGUUAUCUACAUACAAUCUCUCUUGCACCAGGUCAUUUCUUUUUUACUUGGGUUUAUUUUAUUGUCUUAAAAAAACUUUUUUUUUUGAGGUAGGCUCUCACGUAGCACAAACUGGGCUCAAACUUGCUAUGCAGCCAAGAAUGACCAUGAAUUUCUGAUCCCUCCUGUUUUCUAUAAAGCUACAAGAAUGUGUUGUUAGUUCCGUUUUUAUGGGGUUCUGGAACACACUAGGC